rnacentral:misc_RNA from 1 species
GAUGAAGAACGCAGCGAAAUGCGAUAAGUAAUGUGAAUUGCAGAAUUCAGUGAAUCAUCGAAUCUUUGAACGCACAUUGCGCCCGCCAGUAUUCUGGCGGGCAUGCCUGUUCGAGCGUCAUUACAACCCUCAGGCCCCCGGGCCUGGCGUUGGGGAUCGGCGGAAGCCCCCUGCGGGCACAACGCCGUCCCCCAAAUACAGUGGCGGUCCCGCCGCAGCUUCCAUUGCGUAGUAGCUAACACCUCGCAACUGGAGAGCGGCGCGGCCUCGCCGUAAAACACCCAACUUCUGAAUGUUGACCUCGAAUCAGGUAGGAAUACCCGCUGAACUUAAGCAUAUCAAUAAGCGGAGGA